rnacentral:rRNA from 1 species
AUUGAACGCUGGCGGAAUGCUUUACACAUGCAAGUCGAACGGCAGCACGGACUUCGGUCGGGUGGCGAGUGGCGAACGGGUGAGUAAUGUAUCGGAACGUGCCCAGUCGUGGGGGAUAACGUAGUGAAAAUUACGCUAAUACCGCAUACGAUCUAUGGAUGAAAGCGGGGGAUCGCAAGACCUCGCGCGAUUGGAGCGGCCGGUAUCAGAUUAGGUAGUUGGUGGGGUAAAGGCCCACCAAGCCAACGAUCUGUAGCUGGUCUGAGAGGACGACCAGCCACACUGGAACUGCGACACGGUCCAGACUCCUACGGGAGGCAGCAGUGGGGAAUUUUGGACAAUGGGCGAAAGCCUGAUCAGCCAUUCCGCGUGCAGGAUGAAGGCCCUCGGGUUGUAAACUGCUUUUGUACAGAACGAAAAGGUUUCUACUAAUACUAGGAGCUCAUGACGGUACUGUAAGAAUAAGCACCGGCUAACUACGUGCCAGCCGCCGCGGUAA